AGAAGAAGGAUGCAAGGGAUGUGGAUCCUAUUUCACAUUGCUCCCUUGGCUUGGUUUUGAACUGAUAGUAUAGGGACAGAGUGUCAGAGGCAGAGGCUGAUGUCAUUAAAUUGGAACUUUGAGAGAUUCUGGGCAUGGGUAGAGCUGCCUUAGCAACCAAGGGACAAAGAGUGGCCUAGAGAUGUGGAAGCUGGUCUUGUUUCUGUAUGGAGCCCAGAGCCGUGGAAUGCAGCGUCAGGACACCUCCAGAAAUCACUCCCCAGUGUGAAGGUAACAGAUCUUCUGGAAAGAAAUUAUAGUCGUUCAAACAAUGGCAACUCAGAUGUAUGAUCACAGCUACUUGAAAUGUGCAGUUCUGGAAAUAGAGAAUUAAAACUAGAAUGCUCCACAAUGGAAAUGGAAUCAGUGGCCAACACAAAUUACUCCUUAGAUAAUCAACUGCCAAUAAACCUGAUUUCUUGAUUCUGGCAACAG
rnacentral:lncRNA from 1 species